GACGAACGCUGGCGGCGUGCUUAACACAUGCAAGUCGAACGGAAAGGCCCUGCUUUUGUGGGGUGCUCGAGUGGCGAACGGGUGAGUAACACGUGAGUAACCUGCCCUUGACUUUGGGAUAACUUCAGGAAACUGGGGCUAAUACCGGAUAGGAGCUCCUGCUGCAUGGUGGGGGUUGGAAAGUUUCGGCGGUUGGGGAUGGACUCGCGGCUUAUCAGCUUGUUGGUGGGGUAGUGGCUUACCAAGGCUUUGACGGGUAGCCGGCCUGAGAGGGUGACCGGCCACAUUGGGACUGAGAUACGGCCCAGACUCCUACGGGAGGCGGCAGUGGGGAAUAUUGCACAAUGGGCGGAAGCCUGAUGCAGCAACGCCGCGUGCGGGAUGACGGCCUUCGGGUUGUAAACCGCUUUCGCCUGUGACGAAGCGUGAGUGACGGUAAUGGGUAGAGAAGCACCGGCUAACUACGUG
rnacentral:rRNA from 1 species